rnacentral:lncRNA from 10 species
GCAGAGUUGGGCCUGGUUAAUAUGUGAUGUUUUCCUUCGGUGCUGUUUAGCCCCAGUGUUCUUUGGAGUCCGGGGAAGUUUGGCCUUUAAAAAUCAAACUGCCAUGGACACUGCUUUACCCAAAAUUUUGGUUCACAUUCUUCACUGGAUUAACUAUUGGGGCAAACAACGUAUAACCAUGUAAAACCAGUACGCUUGUAUUGGCAUUUCAUGGCUAGAGUUCUAAGGUUGUUCCCACAGCCUGGAAGUCUCUUCCCUGACUUGUUCCACGAUCAACCUCUACUCACCCUUCAAGGCUCAGCUCAAAUGCCCCUUGCCCCAGAAACCUUCCACAAGUCCUGAAGGCAUCACUGAACCCCAUUUCCAGGAUGAGCCCACAGCACUGCAUACAAUGAGUUGAGCAGUAAUUAUUUGUAUCUGGUCCAGGUUCCCAAUGAUUAACUCCUUGAGAGUAGGAACACUAUCACGUUCAUCUUGGAAUCCUCAGUGACUGACACAGAGCUUGCUGUACAAGAAGC